rnacentral:lncRNA from 1 species
UCGUGGGCAACAACUUUAGUCCCCUUCCCCAUACCCUAUGGGUACUUAAGUGUCCAUACCCGCACCCAUUACCCGCACUUUAACUAUGGAAAAACAAAAAAAAAAUAUCACAAAUGAAAUAAAACUACGAUCUCAAUUUUUUAAAAUUAACUCAUAAAAUAACAUGAACCGUGAUAUUUAGUCAAAUAGAAAACAUCCGAAAUAUUCCUAAAAAAUUAUACACCGG